GACGUAGGGCGCGAGCGUUGUCCGGAUUUAUUGGGCGUAAAGAGCUCGUAGGCGGCUUGUUGCGUCGGCUGUGAAAACCCAUGGCUCAACCGUGGGCUUGCAGCCGAUACGGGCAGGCUAGAGUUCGGUAGGGGAGACUGGAAUUCCGGGUGUAGCGGUGGAAUGCGUAGAGAUCCGGAAGAACACCGGUGGCGAAGGCGGCCUGCUGGGCAGUUGCUGACACUGAGGCGCGACAGCGUGGGGAGCAAACAGG
rnacentral:rRNA from 1 species